GCCGGGGUGGUGGAAUGGUAGACACCGGGGACUUAAAAUCCCCUGGCCGCAAGGCCGUGUGAGUUCAAAUCUCAUCCCCGGCA
rnacentral:tRNA from 2 species